GGCCUCCCAGAGUGCUAGGAUUACAGGCGUGAGCCACCAAGCCCAGUCCUCAAGGGUUAUUUUACAAACCCCACUCCCUCCAGGGAGGACAAUCCCCAUCUUCCCAAACAGGAGAAUCUCUUCUGAACCGAUUCUUAACUUUUAUGUUGUUUAUCUUUGUGUCCUUCUCAGUGCCUGCUAUUUCUGACUUAGAAGCGCCUUACAUCGCUUUUUCCUCCCUCCCGCCCUGUUUGCAAAGCGCGCAACGCAACGGGGUUCAUCUUCAGGAAGCCUUUCCUCCGAGCUUCCCAUUGAAGUUUCAACUUUCGGACACCUGGGGGCGCUAACUCAGUCUCCUCAGCAGUCUUUUCUCUUGUCCCUGGGUCCUGACUCCAUGCUGCCCUCAGCGCCCACCAAUCAACACCCUCCCUACUCUCUACAGUGACAGGGACAGAUGGGGAAACCGGGGCCCGCAGUGGGCACACAACGCUCAGCAGGAGUUCCUCAGUGCUAGAAGUCCGGAGUCUUCUGUGGGAGGGAGAUCCCUCUCUCAUGGUGAGAAAGGAGAGAGGCAGAAAGUUCAGGCUUGAGCCAAAAACUGGCCCAGAGUCAGAGAUCUCUGAACUUAAAGCUUCUCCCUGGACUGGCCAGGUCCUUCCAGGGGAGCCCAGUGCUUCCUUGUGCCCGGGUGACCAAGGACAAGAGGAAUGAGUCUUGGGAGACAGGAAUAAAGAAAAGUAGAAAAAAAGAGGUUGGAGAGGAAGUGGAGGGACCACCAUUCUCAGGAAGCCCUGAGAAUGACAGGUGGAACAGAGUCCUUUGAAAUCUGGCCCCACUGACCUCCCAGCAUCAGUGUUCUCUAUCCUCUCCCCACCCCCUGCGCACAGGCACCAUAGCCACACUAAACUUCUCUUAGUUCUUGGACAGAUCACGCCUUCUCUUAGCAACAGUUCUUUGCAAAUAAUGGAACACUCUUCCCCUCCCACUUUGCUUGAUUAAUUUCUACUCCUCCUUGAAGACUCAGCUUAGAUGUCACUUUCUCUGGAAAGCCUUCCUGGGUGCUCCCGCCCCCUGUGUGGGCUGCAUGCAUGGAUAUCGGUGUUCCCACGGUGCCAGGGACUUCCCUCAUUGUGUGCCAGGCAUCGUGCUGAGUGUCCAUGCAGCUCUUCAUCCUGUUAUCCCUGGGAGGUGGGUAACAGGUGCAGCCCUCGUAUUAACGAUGUGGACACUAGACUUACAGACGUCAGCUAACUUGCCCUGGAGGACUGCUCACAAGAAGUAGCAUUGCAAAUGGAAGCCAGACCUGCGUAAACCAGAGCCUGUGCUUGCCAUCUUGCUACUGUACUGUGUCAUAGAAUGUUCGCGCCAGGAGACCCUCCAUGGUCAUCCCAUUCUACUGAUGAGGAAGCCAAAGCCUAGAAAAUGUGGCUAACUUUCCCAGAAUCACACAGCUAGCCAAUAGCCCUUGUUAUUAAAUAUCAGAAUCGGAGCAAUAACCCUGGCCUUCUUCUUCAUCCCAACUUCUCUCUUCCUACGAGAUCCUUUUCUUGCCCCCGGGGUCCUGAAGGGCCAGUUGGUGUGGAGCCAACCUUGGAGCAUUACCAUGGAGCUCAUUCCCCACCCAGCCUUGGCCGUGGCCCCUCGUGUGUUGGAGCUGGCUCUCCCACCCAGCAGGUCUCAGGGGUCUCCCUCACCCCUGCAGCAGCUGGGGCAGUAAGAAGAGUUAGAAUAAACAGCAAAUGGUGAGGUCCACACCAGGGGACAGAUUCAAUGAUGCCCUCGCUUGAGGCUGUGAAAAUGGUCAAGGAAGUUCCUUUGAGACCAUAGGAAACCCCACAGCCCACGGGGCACUGAAAGUCUUUGGAACUAUCUCCCAGGCCACCCAGACCUUGUUCAAUAGGUGACCAAAGGGGCAGGGGGCUCUCCUUAUUGUCAGGGAGAGUGAGCCCUCCACCUCUUCCUGGCCCUCCCCUUCGCCUAGUACUACUGCUUAUGCCUAGGAAAUUCUUCCAGUUAAAUCAAAAUUUACCUGCUGCUACCUAAGCAAUUUCUUCUUUGUACCCUUGGUGGAGAUGGAGACCCACAGGUACUCUGUUCCUAUAAUCAUAUUCAGGGGAUUGAGCCACCUUCCCUGACAGGUGUCCUCUCAACUUCCUUCUCAAGGCUCUUGUUCCAGGCAACCUCUGACUCUAACACAGAGACAUCUAAGGGGCUCCCCAUCACCCCAGGAGGCAAGCUCUCAACCCUCCCCCACCCUCCACUUAUUCUAUAUCCACAUCCUCACUGAGGAGAAGGAGUGGGUAGGGAUGGCACAAUGGCGCUAGAUGCAGAACUGGACCCAGAAGUGGGCAUCUCACUGUCCUCUGUCUCUUACAGUAUCUAACAGCCCCAGUACAGCAAGGGGCUGAAGUUACAUUUUGGGCAGACCUCUUUCUCCAACAGGGGACAUUUGGAGGCAGAAGACUCACACCAGGGUACAAGGGCUGGGGGAGGUUUCUUCCUGCACGAAGGAAGACACAUGGAUGAGGCAGCCUUAGGAGAGCCCUGUAGUCAGAGGGGGAGCGUUCUACAUAAGGGAUAGGGAGAAGGAGUAGAAGGACCCAGAGGUUCUUCUGUGCAAUUCUGAUGUAGGAGAAACAUCCUAGAGAUCAGCACUCAAUAAUACUUGCCAGUGAGCGAGCCAGUAUCAGCUUAGCUCUCCAUCUAACGGAGUCUCUGCCGCUGUGACCUCUUCCACCUCCCAGGUCCCAGCACCCCAUUGUGCAGUCAUCCCGGGAUCCCAGAGGGCCCCCAUCUAUUCCCUUCCUAGGGCAUCUGCUCCAGGCUGCCUGAAGAUGCUACAGACCAGAAGAGCAGGAGAGGCAUAGACACCCCAUACGGAUCAUGUACAGACACAGGAUAUUAGCUGGGAAGGCCAGAGCAAGGCAUCACAGAGGACUUGUGAUUGGUAGAGACCUCAACUCUAUAGCCUAGCCAAGAAGGCUGAGGGGUUACUCUCUCCAGUGAUCCCGAGUCAGUAGCAGGAGUGGGGUCGGUGGGAGGGUAGGAAAUGAAAGGAGGUAGGCUCACCCUGCCUACAGGAAGUGAAAGGGUCAAGCAAGGGUCAAGCAAGUGAAAGGGUCAACCUUGGGAGGUUCUUUCUAGACCCAGAAGCCUAUCUAAGGUCUCUAUACCUGUUGUGCUUCUCCCCACCGUGCCGCCACUCCUUCCAAGGAAGGCAGGUAAAGCUAGCUCUGUUAAAAUUGCACACGGGGUGAGGUGGGGUCAUCUCAGGGACAGCAAGAGACAGACAGUGGAAAGAAUAAAAACCUAAAGGGAAGAGGCCUCCAUUCUAGUCCCAGCCUUGCCAUCAACUGCCUGGGCACGUCACCUCCCCUCGCAGAGUCUUGCUGGGAAGAUGGUAACUGUCCUACCCACCUCACAGGCGGAAGGGGCUGGGAGAUACCUAUGUACCCUGGGUCACAUCGGACCUGGGCUCGGCCAGGUGGGGGGUUAGGUAUUCACAGGAAGCUCCGUCCAGCUCUGGGGCACAAGUCCUGGCCCCCCUACCUCCCUCGUGGUUGGGGCGGGGAUGGGGGCGCCGCACUCAGAGUUCAGCAGAGGGUGUGCAGCUGCGGUUAACAUGGUUAACGUAUAAGCAGGUGUGAGCAGGUGUGGUCUGAGGCAGCGGGACAUUCCCCGCCCCAGGGCCACAUUCUUGAGGUCACAACAAGUGCAAACUUGUUACAACCUGUGUCGGAGCAGCAGAGGGCAGCCAGGGCAUGGGGGGAGGUGGCGCUGAGCCGCCUGCCCGUGGCUGCCAGAGGGGUUGCUGUUGGUGUCAGGAAGUCCUCUCCUAAGACCUGAAGGUCUGCCCUCCAGGCUUCCUGCCGCCCUGCAGGCCUCACUGGGAUUGCUUCCAGAAAGUGCUCAGCGGAGUUUUCCAGAAGCCACAUGACAGAUGAUAUUGCAACAUAUUGAAUGCAGAAGCAGAUGAGAAAGCAACUAUCUUUUAUUAAAGCCAGACAUUAACAAGAUUUGUGAAAAUGUAAGACAAUGGCACUCCGCUUCUUAAACUUUUUGUUUGUUGUUUACUUUGGGAAAUGUGUAACCAUUUUCAUUAAAAUAUAUCAUUUAUGUUAACAUGCAAUAGGUUUAUUAUUGUUAUUUUUAAUGAAUUAGUAAUUAUUUUAAGCCUCCCCAGUGUUUGUGUCUAAUAAGGUAAAUAUUGAGAGAUAGAACCCUCAUAAAUAAAAGCUCUUGGGAGUCUUCAGUGAUUUUUAAGAGGGUGAAGGAGUCCUGAGAUCAAAAAGUUUGAGAACCACUGCUCUAGACUCCAGCAAAUUCGCCCUCCCCUCUUGCCAACUGCCCAUAUCUUUUUUAUCACAAGGUCAACUGGGAGGUUUAGGCACAAGGAGAAGGUGAGCACCUGACUCCUCAAGCUGGGGCUGGGGUCGGGGGUGGAGCUGAGGGGGCCAGUCCAGGAAGAAUGGAGCACGAAGAGGUCAGACCCACACCCCACAUGGGAGGUGGCCCCACAGGUCUCCCACUUCACAAGCCCCUGAUCAGAUAUGCUCAAGAUAAUGGUGCUGUCCCAGACUAGACUCUGACCUCUCGCCCCUUUUUCCACCGCAGACGCCUGCCGACAAGCCCAGCGUCGGGCUGGAGUCAGCCCGCUCUGGCCAGCAGAGAAAGACUCCGUGGGCAGGAGACCCACAUGGUUUCUCGUGCGGGGGCCAACAAUGUUUAGAGGACUGUAAACUGGGGGUUCUAGGGUCUGCUGCUUAUAAUCUAGGGGGACGCCAUCCCCACAGGAGGGGGCAGUUGGUGUAAAAGGGGUUUUUCUUGAGGUUCCCUGGAGAGUUGAAUAUUAGAAUCUAAUAGACACCCUGCUCUGGGAUACUCACAUAAACUUCUAAAGUCAGGAUCCUUCCCCCAGAAUGAGCAAUCAGAGAAAUUUCCUACCUAGAGAGAAACUGGACAGUAGCCACCAUGUCCCAGGAGCCAGGCCCUUUGCUGAGUGCCAAGGGGUCCAGAGAGAGAAGAGAUGCCUUUGCCAAUCUGACAGGGGCACAGGCCCUACCCCAGAGGAGCCCCCAGGCUAAUGAGAGACAGGAUGUCCCCCCGACAUCACCCUGCACGGGGCAUCCUGGGCAAAGUCACAGACGCAGGGCUAGGCAAGAUGGCAGAGCAGAGAGGGAAAGAGGAGGACGGAGAUUUGCAGGAGGGGUGAGAGGAGGCUCAGAGAUUACUGUUGGAUCUGCACCCCAGUUACCGGGUCUGAAGAGCACAGUCCCGAAAGAUGGGGGUGCUGGAAGGAAUUGGGGAAGGCAAGAAGUCUCUUGAAGAUCGUGACUGGGAAAUUUUUAUCUAAUGCCAACAGGGGUGUCUGGGUAGGGAAAGGGCAGAUUAAACGGUUGCUUCAUGACAAUUCCAGUGAUAACUCCUUGGUGGAGUAAAGGGAAGGAGUUGAGGCGAGAGAGAGGGGCUGGAAUCAGGGAGGUGGUUAAGGAGGCUGCCGUGGGCAUCAGCCAAUGGGAUGGACGACAGAUCAGGGGACAGAAGGAGAGGAGGGCACAAAAACCUGGGAGAAGUUGUGGGGCACACCUGGGCCGGGAGCAGGCCAGGCAGGAUGAGGAGGAGAGGAGAGACCUGCAGGGCCGUGGCGGGCAG